rnacentral:miRNA from 1 species
CAGGCGGAGCUGCCGCAGGUGCAGAUCUUGGUGAUAGUAACAAAUAUUCAAACGAGAACUUUGGAGGCUGAAGUGGAGAAGGGUUCCACGUG